rnacentral:tRNA from 1 species
UGGCGAUUGUGGCGAAGUGGUUAACGCACCUGAUUGUGGUUCAGGCAUUCGUGGGUUCGAUUCCCAUGCGUUGGUUCAAAUCCAGCUAGCCCAGCCA